ACAGAAUCAUCUAUGUAUAUAUAUGUAUUUUUUCUUAUAAUUUCUUUACCUAUAACCUACAGCUCAUUCUGCAGACAUACCUUAAAGAGCCAUACAAAACCAUGAAGAGGUUCAAAAGAGAUCUUUCAGAGAGCCCUGGAAGAAAACUGAAUCAAAGAAGUAAUUAUUUUUUUAAAAAGGGAACAGAAGCAUGAGCAAAAGCUCCUAGUGUCCUGAGAGGGUGAACUGCUGAGGACAAGAAAACCAGGGGGAGACCUUGAAGGCAAAAUCAGGAUGGGAAAAAUGCUUUGUCCCUACAGCAGAAGUGGCCGCACAGAUGGUUUCACCUCUGAGCUAAGAAGCAACCUGAGUGUUGAGGUGGGGAAUUCAGUCCCUGCAAAUGGGCUGGGCAGAGGCUUGGAGACUCCUUUGGAAAACACCCUGCCUAAAAUAAUAGCACCAGGGCACAGCCAAGUGCUGACAGAUCAGACGGAGGCAGUCCUGAUGAGGAGGGCACGGUCCCCUCGCACCCCAGUAGGACAGUGUGGGAAACCUGGGAGUUACUGGUGCACAUAA
rnacentral:lncRNA from 1 species